rnacentral:rRNA from 1 species
UACAGAGGAUGCAAGCGUUAUCCGGAAUGAUUGGGCGUAAAGCGUCUGUAGGUGGCUUUUUAAGUCCGCCGUCAAAUCCCAGGGCUCAACCCUGGGAGGCGGGUGGAUACUACAGAACUGGAGUACGGAAGAGGAGAUUGGAAUUCCUGGUGUAGCGGUGAAAUGCGCAGAUAUCAGGAGGAACACCAACAGCGAAGGCAGAUCUCUGGGACGUUACUGACGCUGAGACGCGAAAGCGUGGGGAGCAAACAGG